UACGUAGGGUGCAAGCGUUAAUCGGAAUUACUGGGCGUAAAGCGUGCGCAGGCGGUUUUGUAAGUCUGUCGUGAAAUCCCCGGGCUCAACCUGGGAAUUGCGAUGGAGACUGCAGGGCUAGAAUCUGGCAGAGGGGGGUAGAAUUCCACGUGUAGCAGUGAAAUGCGUAGAGAUGUGGAGGAACACCGAUGGCGAAGGCAGCCCCCUGGGUCAAGAUUGACGCUCAUGCACGAAAGCGUGGGGAGCAAACAGG
rnacentral:rRNA from 1 species